UACGUAGGGGGCUAGCGUUGUCCGGAUUUAUUGGGCGUAAAGAGCUCGUAGGCGGUUUGGCAAGUCGGGUGUGAAAUUUCGAGGCUCAACCUCGAAACGCCACUCGAUACUGCUGUGACUGGAGUCCGGUAGAGGAGUGCGGAAUUCCUGGUGUAGCGGUGAAAUGCGCAGAUAUCAGGAGGAACACCAACGGCGGAGGCAGCACUCUGGGCCGGUACUGACGCUGAGGAGCGAAAGCGUGGGGAGCAAACAGG
rnacentral:rRNA from 1 species